rnacentral:piRNA from 1 species
UGCAUCUGAGGGUCCUGACUGUUAGAA